rnacentral:rRNA from 1 species
UACGGAGGAUGCAAGCGUUAUCCGGAUUCAUUGGGUUUAAAGGGUGCGUAGGCGGAAUGAUAAGUUAGUGGUGAAAGCCCCCGGCUCAACCGGGGAACUGCCAUUAAUACUGUCAUUCUUGAGUAUAGUUGAAGUGGGCGGAAUGUAUCAUGUAGCGGUGAAAUGCUUAGAUAUGAUACAGAACACCGAUAGCGUAGGCAGCUUGCUAAACUAUAACUGACGCUCAGGCACGAAAGCGUGGGGAGCAAACAGGAUUAGAUACCCGCGUA